CACAAAUCUAGCCGUCAACCUCCUCAUUGCUCCCAUUCCAAGUCCAAAUCCAUCUCCUAUCCCAUUCGUCGAUCCUGGAGCGAAGGCUGCUUGUCUCUCGUCCUUGCCUCUGCUUCCUCUUCACCUUCCUCCUCCCCUGUCGUCGGUAAGACCUCUCAACCUGGUGCUCCUUUGAGCGAGGACGAUGAUGACGACUCUCCUAUUCUCUUUGCCAGGCCGAAUUGAGAGUUCGAUCCUUUCUUCCUUCUUCUUCUUCUUCUUUCAUGUUUUCGACAAUUUUCCUGCCUUAGGAUUUGAAUAACUGUGAACCAGAUGAGAUGAUUUGUUAUACUUGUGAUUUUUAUUAUCUUGAGUUUUUGCGAUCUGAAAAGAAAAAUAUUGGAUCCGUUCUUGUUUUCGAGUCAUGUUUUUUACUUGCAUCUUGUCGUCAAAUAGAUGGCGAGAUUUGGAAAUUAAUCUUCUCUUUGUUUGGAGGAGGAGAAGUAACUGUUGAUGGUUAAGGUACUUGAUCUUGCGUUUUAAAUUUAGC
rnacentral:lncRNA from 1 species